rnacentral:rRNA from 1 species
GACUACGGCCAUUCCACCCUGAAGGCGCCCAAUCUCGUCUGACCCCAGACGCUAAGCAGGGUCGGGCCUGAUUAGUACUUGGAUGAGAAACAAAUAUACUUCUCACUAAGCUAAAUAGUUCAGAAUUUA